rnacentral:rRNA from 1 species
GACGUAGGAGGCGAGCGUUGUCCGGAUUCAUUGGGCGUAAAGAGCGCGCAGGCGGCUUGGUAAGUCGGAUGUGAAAUCCCGAGGCUCAACCUCGGGUCUGCAUCCGAUACUGCCCGGCUAGAGGUAGGUAGGGGAGAUCGGAAUUCCUGGUGUAGCGGUGAAAUGCGCAGAUAUCAGGAGGAACACCGGUGGCGAAGGCGGAUCUCUGGGCCGAUACUGACGCUGAGGAGCGAAAGCGUGGGGAGCGAACAGG